rnacentral:hammerhead_ribozyme from 1 species
AUCCAUCUGACGAGUCCCAAAUAGGACGAAAGGCGCAUCCUGGAU